rnacentral:lncRNA from 1 species
GUUUGUUCCUAAAUCUAAUCGAGCUCCCAAGGAACUAGUAUCUUAUAGAACACACAUAGAAAAUAGUGCUCUACAGUAGUCACUUUCACAUUUUUUUCUUGGAUCCAACUUCAUGAUAAGAAAUACAUUUUAACUCAUAAUCUAUUCACAUGUAUAUGAAUAACUGAAACAGAAGUUUCACAAAAUUAUGAUUAUGUUUGCCACAAAUGGUGUGCUCUAAUAUUUUCCUUCUGUUUCAUCAGAAGAAAAAUACUGGUUACUAUCCAGCUAAGCUGAUUUUGUGACCCAUUAAUGAGUUUCAGUUCUCACUUUGAAAACACUGUUCUAGAAUUACAGAAAGGUCUAGGGAUGAGAACUAACACCACUGUGCAUCACAGUGUGUCAGUCUGUGCCAGGCAGCUUAUAAAUAUUUUUUGCCUCUAAUUUUUAUACAUUUAUGAGGUAAGUAUCAUUUUCUAGGUAAGGAUGCUAAUCUGUCUCCAAGCCAAAUAACACACAGUAAAUCAUGGCACCAGGAUUUGAAUCUGGGUCUUUAUACAUCAUAGCCCAUGCUGUUCUCACUGUAUUUUGCUUUUUCCAAGUAUAACCCCGUUUUCACACGAAUGGCCCCUUCACAUAUUUGAAGACUACCGUCGUGUCCGUGCUGACCCUUUCUCCCUGCCACACAUGGCUGGAGUGCAAUGGCGCGAUCUCGGCUCACUGCAACCUCUGUCUCCCAGGUUCAGGAAAAUGGCUUUGUAAAGAAGCUUGAGCCUAAAUCUGGCUGGAUGACUUUUCUAGAAGUUACAGGAAAGAUCUGUGAAAUGCUCUUCUGUCCUGAAGCAAUACUGUUGACCAGAAAGGACACUCCAUAUUGUGAAACCGGCCUAAUUUUUCUGACUCUUACGAAAACGAUUGCCAACACAUACUUCUACUUUUAAAUAAACAACUUUGAUGAUGUAACUUGACCUUCCAGAGUUACAGAAAUUUUGUCCCUAUUUAAUGAAUAAAUUGUAUGUAUUUUU